GGUAAGAUGGCUGAGAAUUAAGCGGCGGAUUGUAGCUCCGUGCACAGAGGUCAAAGUCCUCUUCUUGCCA
rnacentral:tRNA from 1 species